rnacentral:rRNA from 1 species
AACGAACGUUAGCGGCGCGCUUAACACAUGCAAGUCGAACGAGAAAGGGCUCGGCCCCGGUACAGUGGCGCACGGGUGAGUAACACGUGGAUAACCUUCCCUAAAGUGGGGGAUAACAUUCCGAAAGGAGUGCUAAUACCGCAUAAGACCACGACUUCUACGGAAGUUGAGGUCAAAGCCGGCCUCUUCAUGAAAGCUGGCGCUAUGGGAUGGGUCCGCGGCCCAUCAGCUAGUUGGUAGGGUAAUGGCCUACCAAGGCGAAGACGGGUAGCUGGUCUUAGAGGAUGAUCAGCCACACUGGAACUGAGACACGGUCCAGACUCCUACGGGAGGCAGCAGUGGGGAAUCUUGCGCAAUGGACGAAAGUCUGACGCAGCGACGCCGCGUGAGUGAUGAAGGCCUUCGGGUUGUAAAGCUCUGUGGGGAGAGACGAAUAAGGUGCAGUUAAUAUCUGCAUCGAUGACGGUACCUCCUUAGCAAGCACCGGCUAACUCUGUGCCAGCAGCCGCGGUAAGACAGAGGGUGCAAACGUUGUUCGGAAUCACUGGGCGUAAAGCGUGUGUAGGCUGUCAGAUAAGUCGGAUGUGAAAGCCCCGGGCUCAACCUGGGAAGUGCAUUCGAUACUGUUUGACUUGAGUACUGGAGAGGUUGGUGGAAUUCUCGGUGUAGAGGUGAAAUUCGUAGAUAUCGGGAAGAACAUCUGUGGCGAAAGCGGCCAACUGGACAGAUACUGACGCUGAGACACGAAAGCGUGGGAAGCAAACAGGAUUAGAUACCCUGGUAGUCCACGCCGUAAACGAUGAGUGUUAGAUGUUGCGGGCUUUGACUCCUGCAGCGUCGUAGCUAACGCGUUAAACACUCCGCCUGGGAAGUACGGUCGCAAGACUAAAACUCAAAGGAAUUGACGGG